GCGGCAUAACGGCAUAACGGUUGUGUGGAACGUGGUGGGCGGGCGGCUCAGUUGAUCGGCGGGCAGCGGCGAGGAAGGAUGCGGCGGCGGCGGUAGCGACUCUUCUUCCAGGCCGAGAAGUCGGCGGUCAGCGAGGAAGCAGAGGAAAGCAUGUCAACUGGAGCAAGUAAGAAGCAUGAAAAAGAUAUUGCCAUCACUCAAGUUGCUCCACAACAGCCAGUUAAUAAAUAUGGGUUAAACGCUGAUCACGGAUUGGACAACGGUAACAAACGUAAUAAGGAGUCUACCUCCAAAAGAAAUCUUGAAGACACCAAAUCAGAAAGGAAUUCUAAGACCUCAGAAAACCUUUUUUGAAAUAAGAAACAUAUUUCAUGCUUAUGACAUUGGAGUGGUGACUACCAUUGGAGACUUUAAAGCCAGUUGAUUAUAAAUGGAUAUUCAGAGUCAUAUGCCACAGCAAAAGAAAGAAUCGUGGAGGCCGGUGCCGUGGCUCACUAGGCUAAUCCUCCGCCUUGUGGCACUGGCACACCAGUUCUAGUCCUGGUUGGGGCACCAGAUUCUGUCCGGGUUGCCCCUCUUUCAGGCCAGCUCUCUGCUGUGGCCCGGGAGUGCAGUGGAGGAUGGCCCAAGUACUUGGGCCCUGCACCCCAUGGGAGACCAGGAGAAGCACCUGGCUCCUGCCAUUGGAUCAGUGUGGUGCGCCGGCCAUGGCGGCCAUUGGAGGGUGAACCAAUGGCAAAAAGGAAGACCUUUCUGUGUCUCUCUCUUUCACUGUCCACUGUCAAAAAAAAAAAAAAAAAAAAAAAAAAAGAAAGAAAAAAAGAAAAAAAAUGUGUGCUCAAUGUCAUUUUGUGACACAGAUGUCAUUUUGUGAGUGUGCUCAAUGUCAUUUUGUGACACAGAUGUCAUUUUGUGGCUCAAAAACCAUUUUGUUUUUUUUGUCUCAUUGUCUAAGACCAAAUCCAUCUAAUGCUUUUCCCGUUUAAACCAAAAUGAAAAAAAUUUGAAUAAAGAACAUAUUUUGUUAUGCUUAAAAUUACCAAGAAUUUUUUAUUCCUCUGUCAUGGCCACAACUUCUGUACCACACUGGUUGCAUCUCUAAAUCCGGAGCUGCGUCACUUAGGUCUGUGUGUGCAUCUGUGUACUUAAAGUAAAACUGGAAAGCAUUAGUUGCAGUACAGCUGUGUUCUAGUAUGUCUCCAUAUGAAUUUCAGCAUCAUUUUUUCCAGAUCUGAGAAGAAUGUCUUUGGUAUUUUGAUUGGUAUCACAUUGAAUCUAUAAAUUGCUUUUGGGAGAAUGGACAGUUUGAUGAUGUUGAUUCUUCCAAUCCAUGAGCAUGGAAGAUUUUUCCAUUUUUUGAUAUCCUCUUCUAUUUCUUUCUUUACGAUUUUGUAACUCUCAUCAUAGAGAUCUUUAAGUUCCUUGAUUAGGUUUAUUCCAAGGUAUUUGAUUGUUUUUGUAGCUAUUGUGAAUGGGAUUGAUCUUAGCAGUUCUUUCUCAGCCAUGGCAUUGCCUGUGUAUACAAAGGCUGUUGAUUUUUGUGCAUUGAUCUUAUAUCCUGCUACUUUACCAAACUCUUCUAUGAGUUCCAAUAGUCUCUUAGUAGAGUUCUUUGGGUCCGCUAAAUAAAGAAUCGUAUC